AGUGAACGCUGGCGGUAGGCCUAACACAUGCAAGUCGAACGGCAGCACAGUAAUAUCUUGCUCUUACGUUUUGCGAGUGGCGUACGGGUGAGGAAUACAUCGGAAUCUACUUUUUCUUGGGGGAUAACGUAGGGAAACUUACGCUAAUACCUCAUACGCCCUACGGGUGAAUGCAGUUGAUCUUCUUACCUUUCUCGAUUUAAUGAGUCUAUGUCGGAUUAGCUAGUUGUCUGGGUAAAGUCCCACCAAGGCGACGAUCCGUAGCUGGUCUGAGAGGAUGAUCAGCCAAACUGGAACUGAGACACGGUCCAGACGCCUACGGGAGGAAGCAGUGGGGAAUAUUGGAAAAUGGGCGAAAGCCUGAUACAGAAAGACCGCGUGGGUGAAGAAGGACUUCGGGUUGUAAAGCCCUUUUGUUGGGAAAGAAAAGCAGCAGGUUAAUACCCAGAUGUUCUGACGGUACCCAAAGAAUAAGCACCGGCUAACUACGUG
rnacentral:rRNA from 1 species